rnacentral:rRNA from 1 species
UACAGAGGUCUCAAGCGUUGUUCGGAUUCAUUGGGCGUAAAGGGUGCGUAGGCGGCGCGGUAAGUCGGAUGUGAAAGCUCGGAGCUCAACUCCGAAAUGGCAUUGGAAACUACCUUGCUCGAGGAAUGGAGGGGGGACUGGAAUUCUCGGUGUAGCAGUGAAAUGCGUAGAUAUCGAGAGGAACACCAGUGGCGAAGGCGAGUCCCUGGACAUCUCCUGACACUGAGGCACGAAAGCUAGGGGAGCAAACAGG